GGGUUCCAAUAGCUAAAUGUAGUGUUAAUAAGUGGGGGUUGGUUGGAAGAGGUAGGUCACUGGGGGUGUGACCUAGUAGAGUGGAUCUGCCUCCCCAUUUUCUCCUCUUCACUCUCUGCUACCUGUUUGUCAUGCCCUGAGCAGCUCUCCUCUGCUGUGCCCCUCUGCCCACUAUGGACUGAAACAUGAACCAAAACAAACCUCUCCUCCCUUAAAUUUACUGGGGAUUGAACCCAGGGCCUUGUGCAUGUGAGCUAUGGGGAUCAAAUUCAAGGUCGUACAAAUAUCAAGGAAAUGUUUUACCAAAUUCUGACAGAAAAUUAUUCUGAAUUCAGAAUUUAUACCUCAUGAAGUAUCACUUAAAUAUUCUGAAUCCAGGAUUCCAUACCCAGUUCAUCCACAAUGAAGUGAGAGCAACAUUAACAUGUAUUCACACAUGCAAAGAUUCGAAAAGUUUGCCAUCCAGGAAUGCUUUCUGCAAGAGACACAUGAAGAUCCACCAAGAGAAGGUAAAGAAGGAGGAAGAAGAGAGGGGAAAGAGGAAGACAUGGGCUACAAGCAACAUGGUUAGCAAGAAACCAAUAAAACUGCAAAAUAACUGGAGAAAGUAUGUUUUGAAGGUUGUGUGUUGGCUGAGGUCGCUGAUAAUAAGGGGUCUUCGCUGUCAGCUGGCUUUUAUCAAUGAGGAUCUGGAGCUCAGCCUUCACAGCCUUUGGGCCUCCUCAACAGUGGUGCUGGCCCUGCUGAUUUGCUUCUGAGGUCUGGCUGCUUUCUCGUCAGGGCAGUGAGUGGCUGUGAAGCUGCUCAGCUGAUCCUGGGUCCGGAAGUGGGCUCCAGUGGACUUCCUGUCAGGGUUUGUGGAACAAACAGACCAGCAGCUGAGGCUUCCUCUGAGGCAGAUGACUGGGGGGGGGGAGCGGGAGGGAGGCAAACAGAGAGAGGUCGAGACAGAGACAGACAGAGAGAGAACCCAAACUGUUUCACUUGGUGUUGUCCCCACCCCAUCAUUUUAGGUC
ensembl:lncRNA